GCACUGCCUUUGACCCGGCGGGGCCCUGUCCGCGGCGCCGCCGGCCAAGCUGUGGUGCUAGAGCGAAGCGCUGCUUCAUAACUGGGGCUGCUCGGUACUGCCCGUGCCGCCCUUUUAAAAGCCAGCGACAACC